rnacentral:rRNA from 1 species
GACGAACGCUGGCGGCGUGCUCAACACAUGCAAGUCGAACGGUAAGGCCCUUCGGGGUACACGAGUGGCGAACGGGUGAGUAACCCGUGGGUGAUCUGCCCUGCACUUUGGGAUAAGCCUGGGAAACUGGGUCUAAUACCGGAUAGGACCAUGGACUUCACGGUUUGUGGUGGAAAGCUUUUGCGGUGUGGGAUGGGCCCGCGGCCUAUCAGCUUGUUGGUGGGGUAAUGGCCUACCAAGGCGACGACGGGUAGCCGGCCUGAGAGGGUGUCCGGCCACACUGGGACUGAGAUACGGCCCAGACUCCUACGGGAGGCAGCAGUGGGGAAUAUUGCACAAUGGGCGCAAGCCUGAUGCAGCGACGCCGCGUGGGGGAUGACGGCCUUCGGGUUGUAAACCUCUUUCAGUAGGGACGAAGCGCAAGUGACGGUACCUACAGAAGAAGGACCGGCCAACUACGUGCCAGCCGCCGCGGUAA